UACGUAUGGUGCAAGCGUUAAUCGGAAUUACUGGGCGUAAAGCGUGCGCAGGCGGUGAUGUAAGACAGAUGUGAAAUCCCCGGGCUCAACCUGGGAACUGCAUUUGUGACUGCAUCGCUGGAGUGCGGCAGAGGGGGAUGGAAUUCCGCGUGUAGCAGUGAAAUACGUAGAUAUGCGGAGGAACACCGAUGGCGAAGGCAAUCCCCUGGGCCUGCACUGACGCUCAUGCACGAAAGCGUGGGGAGCAAACAG
rnacentral:rRNA from 1 species